rfam:Nippostrongylus brasiliensis genome assembly, scaffold: NBR_scaffold0002621
GUCUCAGCGGCGUAGUGAUGGCGCACGAGCCCUGGUUACGUGCGAGACGCGGGUUCGAAUCCCGCCCGAGAUG